UACGAAGGGUGCAAACGUUGCUCGGAAUCAUUGGGCGUAAAGCGCACGUAGGUGGCUUUGCAAGUCGGAUGUGAAAUCCCACGGCUCAACCGUGGACGUGCAUCCGAAACUGCUCGGCUCGAGUAUGGAAGAGGGUCGCGGAAUUCCCGGUGUAGAGGUGAAAUUCGUAGAUAUCGGGAGGAACACCAGUGGCGAAGGCGGCGACCUGGGCCAAUACUGACGCUGAGGUGCGAAAGCGUGGGGAGCAAACAGG
rnacentral:rRNA from 1 species